rnacentral:rRNA from 1 species
ACUGACCCGGUGACAAACCGGGAGGAAGUGGGGGAUGACGUCAAGUCAUCCAUGGCCCUUACGGCCUGGGCUACACACGUGCUACAAUAGGUCGGUACAAAGGGUUGCCAAGCCGCGAGGUGGAGCUAAUCCCAUAAAACCGAUCGUAGUCCGGAUCGCAGUCUGCAACUCGACUGCGUGAAGUCGGAAUCGCUAGUAAUCGUGAAUCAGAAUGUCACGGUGAAUACGUUCCCGGGCCUU